UACGUAGGGUGCAAGCGUUAAUCGGAAUUACUGGGCGUAAAGCGUGCGCAGGCGGUUGUGUAAGACAGAUGUGAAAUCCCCGGGCUCAACCUGGGAACUGCAUUUGUGACUGCACAGCUGGAGUGCGGCAGAGGAGGAUGGAAUUCCGCGUGUAGCAGUGAAAUGCGUAGAGAUCGAGAGGAACACCAGUGGCGAAGGCGAGUUCCUGGACAAGUCCUGACACUGAGGCACGAAAGCUAGGGGAGCAAACAGG
rnacentral:rRNA from 1 species